rnacentral:rRNA from 1 species
GGUCGAUUUUGGCUCAGAUUGAACGCUGGCGGGAUGCUUUACACAUGCAAGUCGAACGGGCAGCACGACUGGUCUGGUGGCGAGUGGCGAACGGGUGAGUAAUGUAUCGGAACGUGCCUAGUAGCGGGGAUAACUACGCGAAAGCGUAGCUAAUACCGCAUACGCCUUCGGGGGAAAGCGGGGGACCCUUCGGGCCUCUGCACUAUUAGACGGGCCGAUAUCGGAUUAGCUAGUUGCGGGUAACGGCUCAUCAAGGCGACGAUCCGUAGCUGGUUUGAGAGGACGACCAGCCACACUGGGACCGAGAUACGCGCCCAGACUCCUACGGAGCGGUGGGGAAUUUUGGACAAUGGGGAAACCCUUAUCCGUUAUCCCGCGUGUGCGAUGAAGGGCCCUUCGCUGUAAAGCACUUUUGGCAGGAAGAAACGGCACGAGACCACCGUGCAACUGAUUGCGGCCUGCAGAAUAAGCACCGGCGCAACUACGUGCCAGCAGCCGCGGUAAUACGUAGGGUGCAAGCGUUAAUCGGAAUUACUGGGCGUAAGCGUGCGCAGGCGGUUUCAAAAGAAAGAUGUGAAAUCCCAGAGCUUAACUUUGGAACUGCAUUUUUAACUACCGAGCUAGAGUGUGUCAGAGGAGGUGGAAUUCCCGCGUAAAGGCGGAAUGCGUAGAUAUGCGGAGGAACACCGAUGGCGAAGGCAAAUUUCGGACAACACUGACGCUCAUGCACGAAAGCGUGGGAGCAAACAGGAUUAGAUACCCCUGGUAGUCCACGCUCAAACGAUGUUUAACUAGCUGUUGGGGCCUUCGGCCUUGUAGCGCAGCUAACGCGUGAAGUUGACCGCCUGGGGAGUACGGUCGCAAGAUUAAAACUCAAAGGAAUUGACGGGGACUCCGCACAAGCGGUGGAUGAUGUGGAUUAGUCUGAUGCAACGCGAAAACCUUACCUACCCUUGACAUGUCUGGAAUCCCGAAGAGAUUUGGGAGUGCUCGCAAGAGAACCGGAACACAGGUGCUGCAUGGCUGUCGUCAGCUCGUGUCGUGAGAUGUUGGGUUAAGUCCCGCAACGAGCGCAAACUUGUCAUUAGUUAAGCGCCAGAAAGGGCACCGGGAGGAGACUGCCGGUGACAAACCGGGGGCGUGUGGGAUGACGUCGGUCUCAUGGCCCCGCGGUAGGCUUCACACGUCAUACAAUGGUCGGGACACAGAGGGUCGCCAACCCGCGAGGGGGAGCCAAUCCCAGAAACCCGAUCGGUCCGAUCGCAGUUCGCAACUCGACUGCGUGAAGUCGGAAUCGCUAGUAAUCGCGGAUCAGUAUGGCUGUCGCGGUGAAUACGUUCCCGGGUCCUGCAUGCACCGCCCGUCACACUCAUGAGUGGGUUUUACCAGAAGUAGUUAGCCUAACCGUAAGGAGGGCGAUUACCAUUUGGUAGAUUCAUGACUGGUGAAGUCGUAACAAGGUAG